UAAAGGUGACCUCUUCAUGAAGUCGCCGUUCGAGGAGGGGCUCGCGUACCAUUAGCUUGUUGGUAGGGUAACGGCCUACCAAGGCUGCGAUGGUUAGCUGGUCUGAGAGGAUGAUCAGCCACACUGGAACUGAAACACGGUCCAG
rnacentral:rRNA from 1 species